UACGUAGGGUGCAAGCGUUGUCCGGAAUUAUUGGGCGUAAAGGGCUCGUAGGCGGUCCGUCACGUCGGGAGUGAAAACUUGGGGCUUAACCCCAAGCCUGCUUCCGAUACGGGCGGACUAGAGGUAGGCAGGGGAGAACGGAAUUCCUGGUGUAGCGGUGAAAUGCGCAGAUAUCAGGAGGAACACCGGUGGCGAAGGCGGUUCUCUGGACAGUGACUGACGCUGAGACGCGAAAGCGUGGGGAGCAAACAGG
rnacentral:rRNA from 1 species